rnacentral:rRNA from 1 species
GACGAACGCUGGCGGCGUGCUUAACACAUGCAAGUCGAACGGAAAGGCCCUGCUUUUGUGGGGUGCUCGAGUGGCGAACGGGUGAGUAACACGUGAGUAACCUGCCCUUGACUUUGGGAUAACUUCAGGAAACUGGGGCUAAUACCGGAUAGGAGCUCCUGCUGCAUGGUUGGGGUUGGAAAGUUUCGGCGGUUGGGGAUGGACUAGCGGCUUAUCAGCUUGUUGGUGGGGUAGUGGCUUACCAAGGCUUUGAAGGGUAGCCGGCCUGAGAGGGUGAACAGCCACAUUAGGACUGAGAUACGGCCCAGACUCCUACGUGAGGCAGCAGUGGGAAAUAUUGCACAAUGGUCGGAAGCCUGAUGCAGCAACGCCGCGUUCGUGAUGACGUCCUUCGGGUUGUAAACCGCUUUCGCCUGUUACGAAGCGUUAGUGACGGUAAUGAAUAAAGAAGCACCGGCUAACUACGUG